AAAACACUUUACCCACGAGUAACUACAGCAGUAGAAUUUUAACCAUUUUCAUUUAGGUACGGCAAACCUCACUGUCUCCUCUACGCUGUCAACGGAAUGGCUGCCGGCAACUUGAGGAUUGAGGUUUUGUGCCUAUUGAUAGCAGUAGUCGCAGUUACAAAUGCAGAAAAUUACUUUCAUGAAUUUGGCAAUUUUUCAAGAGGAGAAGAAUCUUUCCAAAAAAGGGGAAGCAUUUACUCAUUCUCGUACAAGAAUUGGUUUGAGGUUCCUGAAAUGAAUAAUAGGUUGAUCACUGGUAUCAAAGUAAUCGUAAGCGGCCCCUCAACUCCAGACGUGUGGUAUAGCAGGCCGUGGGUCUACAUCUACUACUAUUUUCCGCAAAUAACCGUAAGCGAUUACGCUAUCAUCGCUAAAUCUGUGCCCUGUCGUCCUUGCAAGAGGACCCUGCCCAGUGAUGCUUCGCCAAAUGGUGAAGACUUCGUCGUUUAUGGAGAAUUA